rnacentral:tRNA from 1 species
UGAACAUAAUUUAUUAAAAUACUAGUCUGUGAAUCUAGACAUGAGAGCUAAAUAUUCUCUGUUCAUCG